UCUCCGUUGGUGAACCAGCGGAGGGAUCAUUACCGAGUUUACAACUACCAAACCCAAUGUGUACCAUAGCAACCUGUUGCCUCGGCGGGGUCCCGCCUCGUGUCCGUCGCAGCCCCGGAACCAGGCGCCCGCCGGAGGGACCAACCUUACUCUUUCCGUAGUCCCCUCGCGGACGUUAUUUUUACAGACCUGAGUAAAAAUUCGUAGUGAAUUAAAACUUUCAACAACGGAUCUCUUGGUUCUG
rnacentral:misc_RNA from 1 species